AACGAACGCUGGCGGCAUGCCUAACACAUGCAAGUCGAACGAGACCUUCGGGUCUAGUGGCGCACGGGUGCGUAACGCGUGGGAAUCUGCCCUUGGGUUCGGAAUAACAGCGAGAAAUUGCUGCUAAUACCGGAUGAUGACGUAAGUCCAAAGAUUUAUCGCCCAAGGAUGAGCCCGCGUAGGAUUAGCUAGUUGGUGAGGUAAAGGCUCACCAAGGCGACGAUCCUUAGCUGGUCUGAGAGGAUAAUCAGCCACACUGGGACUGAGACACGGCCCAGACUCCUACGGGAGGCAGCAGUGGGGAAUAUUGGACAAUGGGCGAAAGCCUGAUCCAGCAAUGCCGCGUGAGUGAUGAAGGCCUUAGGGUUGUAAAGCUCUUUUACCCGGGAUGAUAAUGACAGUACCGGGAGAAUAAGCUCCGGCUAAACUCCGUGCCAGCAGCCG
rnacentral:rRNA from 1 species